CAGUAUGGAAACUCCUCAGGGAAGCCAGUGAACUGCGUGGAGAUACAAGACUUUCUUUUCGGCCGGGCAUGCAGCCAGAACAGCUAAAAAAUGUGGAUUGGCACAGAGCUCUUGCCACGCAAACACUUCUGGAAAUUUCUCUGUUCAGGCCUGCCAAAUCCUUCCUAUGUAACAUGAGUUUCUGUCUUCCUCAGCAGCCCGUCUGAAGCCUGAGCUCUCCUGUACACUUUAAAAAGGAAAAAUGAAAAAAAAGCUCCAAGGCAACCUUUCAGUCCUGUUUCCAGCAUGCCACUGCCAAGCUAACAAUUUCACCGAAUUAGGGGGAAUUUCCUAAAACAUUUCUUUGAGCUACAUUGAGUGCAACAUGUGGGAGACAACUGUGUUUCCUGGAGAAGAAAGGAGAGCUGUCUCACUCGUGGAGACUGCCUAAUGUCUAGCAGGAGAAAAACAACCAGCCAUGACAAGAAAAUGUUUUUUAAAACUUGGCGCGAGAAGCAGGUUUUAUUUAUUUUGAAUGCCUUUUCCAGUCUGGUCAAUGUAGUGUAUGAAGAGAGGGUUGGUGGAGGGAAGCUGGUGUUUUUGUUAGGGCCCAGGGCUUGGAGUCAGGAGGUCUGGGCUCUAUUUCUGGCUCCGCUGUAGCCUUCCUGUGGGACUUGGGUGAAGCUCUUGGAGGAGUGACUACAGAAAAAAAAAGAAAAAAUAAUUGGAGCAGUAGAGGGAGCAGAAAAGAAAGACAUUUUUAAGUAAUGUUAAGUAGCAAGUCAAGCAGUAUGGAUGCUGAGACUGCAGACAACCUACCCCUUUCUGAAAGCUGAAGCACCUUCCACAAGCAGGAAAAGGCUGUUCAGCUGAAUUCCUACAAAUGAGGGCAUAUCCAACUUGGUGAGAACAAAGACAUUAAAGGUACAUCGGGUAUUGAAAAAAACUUUUGGGGAAAGGAAGAAAGAAACUACCUUGCCACACCCAGGAGAAGAGCAUAUGCAAAUGGUUGUGAGCAGUGCUGGGAUCAGAUGUGAGAUGGAGGAGUGUCUGUGCUGUCAGCAGGAUGCCUCCAAAGGACUCUGAGGGAUCAGUGCAAUGGCUGCUGCGUUCUGGGGAUGGACACAGAGAUCGUGUGGCAGCAGCAGUGACGCACCAUGAUCCCACCUUCAUCUGUCAGCUGGAAAGAGUCAGGGAACAGACCUAGAGCUGAAUUAAACCAUCCUGGUGUGGGGACUGUUUACAGUAUCCUGUAUGACACAUCUGUUGAUCUCCCAAGAGCCGAGACCAGCCUCAGCAAUUUAGAGCAUACCGAAGCCUCCUGCUCCCAGAUGCACUCACUCCAUCCACAGUCUGUUGGGAUUUGCAGCCUAUCUGACUACUUUUCUCCCACAGCUUUCACAUAUGUGCAAGUCAUUGAUAUAGCUCCUGAACAGAGAUGCAAUAUGGACAACUGGUAUCAUCAGAGAAUACACCAUUUACUCAUGUGAAAAAACAGGCACCUAAUUAUCUCACUUUUAAUAAAGAGGCACAUACAUAGCAUAUUGCUAGUGAGCAGUUCUACACCUUUAAAAGAGACACGUUCCUCUUGCUAACCUUCAGCUUAAUAUUAGUAUCUCCAGCACAACAGGGAGAUAGCUCCAAACAAACUUUUUUUUUCCUACUGGAAAAGCCAGAGAGCAGGGGGAAAUUACUACAUUUUCAGGAGUACUGGAUCUACUAAAACAGGUUGAGGGUAAUCACAAUACCCAGAUUGCAGGGAAUGGACAUUUUCUUUGGGAAUUGUCCAGCUCUCCUCUGGAUCUGCAGUCUGUGCAGAGGAAGCCAGAAAUACUCUGUUGUAGCCAAAUAUGACAGGAGCUAGCCAACAUCUGGUGGUCUGUUGUGCCACGUUUAGGGCAACCAGCAAUGAAAAGUGGAAGCACACAGCUCUUUCCACCAUCCAUGGGGAGAACAGAGAUUUGCUUCCCAGCCCCAAAUUUGGCUAUUUGGGCUGCUACUCUGACAUCUAGUCAAGUGGGUGAGUUUAAAACAAUGAAGUACUUUAACAGGCAGAAUACACUAUGUGGAGGGAACACAUCUGUUUCCUUGCAAUCCAGCCCCAAAUGGACUCCCUUCUGUUACCACCACAGCAUUGCCACCAAAUGGCAAAGUCAAAUUAGCACUUAAAAUGCCUGAAAUUUUAUUAAUGCCAAAGAACAUGAAGAAAACACAUAGCAUCUCUCUUCUUGAAUGGAGAAACAAUCUCACAGAAAAACCAGCUCAAUCUGCUUCCAUCGUCUGGUACCGUGAGCUGUGGCAUCACUAACGUGACUACCUGCAAUGAAAGCAAUCACGUAUAGAAGAAACACCUGAAAGCCAAAGCCUCCCAUGACUGAUGAAAUAAAGACUUCACAGAACUACCUGCAGGACGAGGUAUUUUUAUCAGAUUAUUUCUGCUGGACAUACCAGGUUCUGGGAUGCAAAUGAUUUUAUUGAACACGUAAGCUCUUGUUUCAUGUGAUAUAGCAUUUUAAAAUGUGCAUUUCCCUGAAAUGCACAGAAGACACGGAGAUAACAGUGAAUUAUGCACUCUGCAGACCUGACUGAGAGGGCACUGAUCAAAGCAAAAGAGCAGUGACUGUGGGGACAGACGUGAUACCCCAGAAAUACAUUGCUGAAGAGCUCGAGCAGAAUACAGUCAUCUGUGCUCACAAGUGAACAAUACACCAACUCCAACAUGAAGGCUGCUUCCAGGCAUACACACAAGGCAGUACAGUACCCUGGCAUGAAAGAACAGCCUCUGCUGACACAGGAAAAUAGCCUUGCUUCCAAAAGAAGUGAAGAGAAAAAAAAAACCAAAACAAACACAACCCCCCAGCCCAGUACAUUAGCUACAAAAUGAGACAUAUUAAGAAUGUACAUGUAAAGGUUCUCACAGGUUAUGCUGUUCAUGUUUAACGCUGUGGUCUCAAAUGUGACUAAAGCUACAGAACUGAAGUGCCCAUUUGGGACUUGGAUAUUCGGGCAGAGGAUAAUGUCACCUUAGCCAGCAGUGAAUGAGAAGCACAGGAGGCACAGAGGGAGGGAUAAACCUGCAGCAAGGAAAGCUGAGCUGCAGGUAGCAGGCAUCUGCAGUCUGGGUGGAAGGCAGAGGGGAGGUAGGGAGCAGCAGAGUCCCUGUCCCUAGGGGAGCACAACCCUGGGCAGUCAGGCUUCUGUGCCUGCCGUGGAGCACAGGAGAGGAGUGACAUUUCUGGUGGCCCUGGCAGUGCACCUUACACACACAUCAUUUUAGGGGACUGUACUGAGGGCAGGAAAAAGCAACUACUGUUCAUUCUGAAGACCCUAAAAGACAGUGUGCCUACAGCAACCUUUUCAGGCUUGAGCACUUGAGCACCUGGCCACCAAGUCUGCAAAAGGCAUCCAAAAAAAUAAGCCCACUUAGCAUCACUCAGCACUAGAUAAAUGCCCUCUCCCCUGUGCCCCCCAAAACGCAAUAGGAUGCCCACUGAUCAAAAAAGGGUCUAAACAGUUUUAUUUUCUACCUGCUGUAAUAAAUUAGGCCUGGCUGUUUGAAAACUA